AGAGUUUGAUCCUGGCUCGGACGAACGCUGGCGGCGUGCUUAAUACAUGCAAGUCGAGCGACGAAAGGAGAAGGGGUAACCCUUCUCCCUGAAAGCGGCGAACGGGUGAGUAACACGUGGGUAACGUGCCCUGGACUCUGGGAUAACAACGGGAAACCGUUGCUAAUACCGGAUAACCCUGUAGCACCGCAUGGUGCAGCAGGCAAAGUUUUUCGGUCCGGGAUCGGCCCGCGGUGUAUCAGCUUGUUGGUGGGGUAACGGCCUACCAAGGCUUUGACGCAUAGCUGGCGUGAGAGCGCGACCAGCCACACUGGGACUGAGACACGGCCCAGACUCCUACGGGAGGCAGCAGUAGGGAAUCUUGCGCAAUGGGCGAAAGCCUGACGCAGCGACGCCGCGUGAGGGAUGAAGGCCUUCGGGUUGUAAACCUCUUUCAGCAGGGACGAAGCCUACGGGUGACGGUACCUGCAGAAGAAGGUCCGGCCAACUACGUGCCAGCAGCCGCGGUAAUACGUAGGGACCAAGCGUUGUCCGGAUUUAUUGGGCGUAAAGAGCUCGUAGGCGGCUGUCCACGUCGGGUGUGAAAGCUCAGGGCUCAACCCUGAGACGCCAUUCGAUACGGGACGGCUAGAGGUAGGUAGGGGAGAUCGGAAUUCCUGGUGUAGCGGUGAAAUGCGCAGAUAUCAGGAGGAACACCGGUGGCGAAGGCGGAUCUCUGGGCCUUACCUGACGCUGAGGAGCGAAAGCUGGGGGAGCGAACAGGAUUAGAUACCCUGGUAGUCCCAGCCGUAAACGUUGAGUGCUAGGUGUGGGGGAGGUCUUCAACCCUCUCUGUGCCGCAGCUAACGCAUUAAGCACUCCGCCUGGGGAGUACGGUCGCAAGACUAAAACUCAAAGGAAUUGACGGGGGCCCGCACAAGCGGCGGACCAUGUGGCUUAAUUCGAUGCCACGCCGAAAAACCUUACCUAAGCCUUGACAUGCUAAUUUAAAGCCGGGUGAAAACCCCGUGUCCCUUAACGGGCUAAGCACAAGGUGCUUCCAUUGGCUUUCCUUCAGCUCCUUGCCCUUGAGGUGUUUGGCUUUAAUUGCCCCCAACCAAGGCCCAACCC
rnacentral:rRNA from 1 species